rnacentral:rRNA from 1 species
UAGCUAAUACCGCAUAACGUCGCAAGAGCAAAGAGGGGGACCUUCGGGCCUCUUGCCAUCGGAUGUGCCCAGAUGGGAUUAGCUAGUAGGUGGGGUAACGGCUCACCUAGGCGACGAUCCCUAGCUGGUCUGAGAGGAUGACCAGCCACACUGGAACUGAGACACGGUCCAGACUCCUACGGGAGGCAGCAGUGGGGAAUAUUGCACAAUGGGCGCAAGCCUGAUGCAGCCAUGCCGCGUGUAUGAAGAAGGCCUUCGGGUUGUAAAGUACUUUCAGCGGGGAGGAAGGCGAUAAGGUUAAUAACCUUGUCGAUUGACGUUACCCGCAGAAGAAGCACCGGCUAACUCCGUGCCAGCAGCCGCGGUAAUACGGAGGGUGCAAGCGUUAAUCGGAAUUACUGGGCGUAAAGCGCACGCAGGCGGUCUGUCAAGUCGGAUGUGAAAUCCCCGGGCUCAACCUGGGGAACUGCAUUCGAAACUGGCAGGCUAAGAGUCUUGUAGAGGGGGGGGUAGAAUUCCAGGUGUAGCGGUGAAAUGGCGUAAGAGAUCUGGAGGAAUACCCGGUGGGCGAAGGCGGGCCCCCUGGACAAAGGACAUGACG